rnacentral:rRNA from 1 species
AGCGUACACGGUGGAUGCCCUGGCAGUCAGAGGCGAUGAAGGACGUGCUAAUCUGCGAUAAGCGUCGGUAAGGUGAUAUGAACCGUUAUAACCGGCGAUUUCCGAAUGGGGAAACCCAGUGUGUUUCGACACACUAUCAUUAACUGAAUCCAUAGGUUAAUGAGGCGAACCGGGGGAACUGAAACAUCUAAGUACCCCGAGGAAAAGAAAUCAACCGAGAUUCCCCCAGUAGCGGCGAGCGAACGGGGAGCAGCCCAGAGCCUGAAUCAGUGUGUGUGUUAGUGGAAGCGUCUGGAAAGGCGCGCGAUACAGGGUGACAGCCCCGUACACAAAAAUGCACAUGCUGUGAGCUCGAUGAGUAGGGCGGGACACGUGGUAUCCUGUCUGAAUAUGGGGGGACCAUCCUCCAAGGCUAAAUACUCCUGACUGACCGAUAGUGAACCAGUACCGUGAGGGAAAGGCGAAAAGAACCCCGGCGAGGGGAGUGAAAAAGAACCUGAAACCGUGUACGUACAAGCAGUGGGAGCACGCUUAGGCGUGUGACUGCGUACCUUUUGUAUAAUGGGUCAGCGACUUAUAUUCUGUAGCAAGGUUAACCGAAUAGGGGAGCCGAAGGGAAACCGAGUCUUAACUGGGCGUUAAGUUGCAGGGUAUAGACCCGAAACCCGGUGAUCUAGCCAUGGGCAGGUUGAAGGUUGGGUAACACUAACUGGAGGACCGAACCGACUAAUGUUGAAAAAUUAGCGGAUGACUUGUGGCUGGGGGUGAAAGGCCAAUCAAACCGGGAGAUAGCUGGUUCUCCCCGAAAGCUAUUUAGGUAGCGCCUCGUGAAUUCAUCUCCGGGGGUAGAGCACUGUUUCGGCAAGGGGGUCAUCCCGACUUACCAACCCGAUGCAAACUGCGAAUACCGGAGAAUGUUAUCACGGGAGACACACGGCGGGUGCUAACGUCCGUCGUGAAGAGGGAAACAACCCAGACCGCCAGCUAAGGUCCCAAAGUCAUGGUUAAGUGGGAAACGAUGUGGGAAGGCCCAGACAGCCAGGAUGUUGGCUUAGAAGCAGCCAUCAUUUAAAGAAAGCGUAAUAGCUCACUGGUCGAGUCGGCCUGCGCGGAAGAUGUAACGGGGCUAAACCAUGCACCGAAGCUGCGGCAGCGACGCUGAUGCGUUGUUGGGUAGGGGAGCGUUCUGUAAGCCUGCGAAGGUGUGCUGUGAGGCAUGCUGGAGGUAUCAGAAGUGCGAAUGCUGACAUAAGUAACGAUAAAGCGGGUGAAAAGCCCGCUCGCCGGAAGACCAAGGGUUCCUGUCCAACGUUAAUCGGGGCAGGGUGAGUCGACCCCUAAGGCGAGGCCGAAAGGCGUAGUCGAUGGGAAACAGGUUAAUAUUCCUGUACUUGGUGUUACUGCGAAGGGGGGACGGAGAAGGCUAUGUUGGCCGGGCGACGGUUGUCCCGGUUUAAGCGUGUAGGCUGGUUUUCCAGGCAAAUCCGGAAAAUCAAGGCUGAGGCGUGAUGACGAGGCACUACGGUGCUGAAGCAACAAAUGCCCUGCUUCCAGGAAAAGCCUCUAAGCAUCAGGUAACAUCAAAUCGUACCCCAAACCGACACAGGUGGUCAGGUAGAGAAUACCAAGGCGCUUGAGAGAACUCGGGUGAAGGAACUAGGCAAAAUGGUGCCGUAACUUCGGGAGAAGGCACGCUGAUAUGUAGGUGAAGUCCCUUGCGGAUGGAGCUGAAAUCAGUCGAAGAUACCAGCUGGCUGCAACUGUUUAUUAAAAACACAGCACUGUGCAAACACGAAAGUGGACGUAUACGGUGUGACGCCUGCCCGGUGCCGGAAGGUUAAUUGAUGGGGUUAGCGCAAGCGAAGCUCUUGAUCGAAGCCCCGGUAAACGGCGGCCGUAACUAUAACGGUCCUAAGGUAGCGAAAUUCCUUGUCGGGUAAGUUCCGACCUGCACGAAUGGCGUAAUGAUGGCCAGGCUGUCUCCACCCGAGACUCAGUGAAAUUGAACUCGCUGUGAAGAUGCAGUGUACCCGCGGCAAGACGGAAAGACCCCGUGAACCUUUACUAUAGCUUGACACUGAACAUUGAGCCUUGAUGUGUAGGAUAGGUGGGAGGCUUGGAAGUGUGGACGCCAGUCUGCAUGGAGCCGACCUUGAAAUACCACCCUUUAAUGUUUGAUGUUCUAACGUUGACCCGUAAUCCGGGUUGCGGACAGUGUCUGGUGGGUAGUUUGACUGGGGCGGUCUCCUCCUAAAGAGUAACGGAGGAGCACGAAGGUUGGCUAAUCCUGGUCGGACAUCAGGAGGUUAGUGCAAUGGCAUAAGCCAGCUUGACUGCGAGCGUGACGGCGCGAGCAGGUGCGAAAGCAGGUCAUAGUGAUCCGGUGGUUCUGAAUGGAAGGGCCAUCGCUCAACGGAUAAAAGGUACUCCGGGGAUAACAGGCUGAUACCGCCCAAGAGUUCAUAUCGACGGCGGUGUUUGGCACCUCGAUGUCGGCUCAUCACAUCCUGGGGCUGAAGUAGGUCCCAAGGGUAUGGCUGUUCGCCAUUUAAAGUGGUACGCGAGCUGGGUUUAGAACGUCGUGAGACAGUUCGGUCCCUAUCUGCCGUGGGCGCUGGAGAACUGAGGGGGGCUGCUCCUAGUACGAGAGGACCGGAGUGGACGCAUCACUGGUGUUCGGGUUGUCAUGCCAAUGGCACUGCCCGGUAGCUAAAUGCGGAAGAGAUAAGUGCUGAAAGCAUCUAAGCACGAAACUUGCCCCGAGAUGAGUUCU